GACAUCUCUCCAUGUUAGGGUUUUUAUCAGGUCUUCAGAUUUAUAACAUAAGUUGACCCAUCUGCUCAAUAAUUGUCAAGUUAUGUAAUCUUUUUGCUUUUCCUUGCAUCUGCUUACUGUACAUUAUUUGAUUUAACGUCUAAGAAACUGAACUAUAGGUAUUCAGUACAGAAUCACUUGACAUACUUGUCUCAUAAAACCUUCAGUCUUUGUCUUUCCUUUUGAAGUACAUUUUAGAAAGCUUAAAUCAAUUGUAAG
rnacentral:lncRNA from 1 species